GCACUGCUGAGGAGUCCCACAAUAGGACGAAAAGGCCAUUCAGUGC
rnacentral:hammerhead_ribozyme from 1 species